rnacentral:rRNA from 1 species
CGGACGGGUGAGUAACGCGUGAAUCACAUGCCCUUCAGAGGGGGAUAGCCCAGGGAAACUUGGAUUAAUACCCCAUGGUCUCGCAAGAGUAAACGGUGGCCGCAAGGCUGUCGCUGGAGGAUUGGUUCGCGCCCUAUCAGCUUGUUGGCGGGGUAACGGCCCACCAAGGCUACGACGGGUACCUGGUCUGAGAGGACGAUCAGGCACACUGGAACUGAGACACGGUCCAGACACCUACGGGUGGCAGCAGUCGAGAAUAAUUCACAAUGGGGGCAACCCUGAUGGUGCAACGCCGCGUGGAGGAUGAAGGUCUUCGGAUUGUAAACUCCUGUCAUCCGGGAGCAAGACCUGACGGUUAACAGCCGGCAGGGUUGAUAGUACCGGAAGAGGAAGGGACGGCUAACUUCGUGCCAGCAGCCGCGGUAAUACGAAGGUCCCGAGCGUUGUUCGGAAUCACUGGGCGUAAAGGGAGCGUAGGCGGCGUGGUAAGUCAGAUGUGAAAUCCCGGGGCUCAACCCCGGAACUGCAUCCGAUACUGCCGUGCUAGAGGAUUGGAGAGGUAGCUGGAAUUCACGGUGUAGCAGUGAAAUGCGUGGAUAUCGUGAGGAACACUCGUGGCGAAAGCGAGCUACUGGACAACUCCUGACGCUGAGGCUCGAAGGCCAGGGUAGCGAAAGGGAUUAGAUACCCCUGUAGUC